AGAGUUCUGUGACAGCCCCGGAAGGACAGUCACAUCGUAAGAGCAUGCCCAAGCGGUUGGCGCGUGAGGCGCGCGGGGCGACAGAGCCGCGAGGCUUCGACACCAUCGCUUCACGUUCGUCCAGGGCUUGCCAGUUCUGAAAGCGCUCGCACGUGCGCGGCUAUUUCCUCACAAUUGUUCUGUGAAGGAAGGAAGUAAAUAUUAUGGGCUGAGUUGUGUUCCCCACACAAUUUGUACGUGGAAGGCCUAACGCCAGCAGCUCGGAAUGCGUCCGUAUUCGGAGAUAGAACCCUUCAGGAGGUGAAGUUAAAACGAGACACUCAGGGAGGGUCCAAAUCCGAUCUGACUAAGGUUCUUUUAAGAAGAGGAAACUUGGAUACAGGAAGAGGGACGCACACAGAGGGAAGGACACAGGGAGAAGGUGGCCAUCUGCGAGCCAAGGAGAGAGGCCUGGGGAACAACCGAAUCUGCUGACUCCAUGAUCUUAGACUUGCAGCCUCGGGAACUCUGAGGAACUUAAUUUCUGUUGGGGAUGGUGAAGAAGCUGUCGGAGAACAGUGCCACCACGUGGUGUAGGAAAGAAUAGCAAUCGCUGGGAAAAUGACCAACGAUAUCUGAAACAGAAAAUGCUGAGACCACUGGAUAGUUGGUAACUCGACCUGAAGCUGCAAGCAUGCUGAGAGGGGCCAGGAGGUUGAGUGAAUUCCAUGAGGUUAGUAAGGGUCCAUGUGGGGUUAUGAGUAAGAAGACAAUCAGGCGCUGGCAAAGAUUUCUGCCUGAGAGAUUAUAUGGCCGAUGAGAAAAUGCGAUGGUCCCUAGAAUGGCCUUACUGUCUGAUAACUUUCUGGUUCUUGUUUCAGUCCUAGUUCUAUUGCACCUCUUUGUUUAUACACAAACUCAUUUCUUGAGGUAAAACGAAUGACUCUCUUCCCUGCAAUAGAAAGAGCUGGGAUCAAGCACAGAUAAAGGGAGAGAGAUCACAGGCCAAGAAGGCUUCGAAGUCCUUGGCUGGUGAGAGCCUGGGUCCAACAAAUACUAAUACUAGCAUCCAUACAGAGCUGCAGAGCUCUAAGACCUGUAGACAUUUCACAGCUGUCCCUUCAUUUGGUCUUUAUAAUGACCUUGGAGGAGGGCAGAGCAAGCAUUUGUGUCUUCAUUUUACUGAUGAAAAAAUUCAUGCUCAAGGGUUUAAAGACUCUAAGCUAUGUAAAUAAUCACCGGCAGUAUUAUGACUUCCAACUCAAAACUCACAGAAUGUGAUUCCAGUUCAAAUCCCAACUUGAUUUUUCUCAUUAGCUUCAACCUCUUGUCCAAGGUUAUACAUCAGAACCACCCGCAAGUGCUCGUGGGCUUUGUGCCCUAGCCUGAACCUUUGACGUUCCGAUUCCAUAAGUGUGGGUGAUGGUCCUAAGCACUAGUGGGUUUUAAAAUCCACAGGCAAGUGUGAGGAGCAUCCCCUGCUGAGAACCAUUGCCCUG